AUUGAACGCUGGCGGCAUGCCUUACACAUGCAAGUCGAACGGCAGCACGGGAGCUUGCUCCUGGUGGCGAGUGGCGAACGGGUGAGUAAUACAUCGGAACGUACCCUGAAGUGGGGGAUAACGUAGCGAAGGUUACGCUAAUACCGCAUAUUCUGUGAGCAGGAAAGAGGGGGAUCGCAAGACCUCUUGCUUUAGGAGCGGCCGAUGUCGGAUUAGCUAGUUGGUGAGGUAAAGGCUCACCAAGGCGACGAUCCGUAGCGGGUCUGAGAGGAUGAUCCGCCACACUGGGACUGAGACACGGCCCAGACUCCUACGGGAGGCAGCAGUGGGGAAUUUUGGACAAUGGGCGCAAGCCUGAUCCAGCCAUGCCGCGUGAGUGAAGAAGGCC
rnacentral:rRNA from 1 species